GUCUUUGAAACAGCUAGGGGGCAAACUGUUAAAACCCUAAAGAACAACAAAAUGGAAGAACUAAACCCUAAACCCCUAUCCAGUUCGCUGUUACAGUGAAAAAUCUGCAAGACCAGACAACGCCAAAUUCGUUCUUCGCUUUCACUCGGAAGAUUCUUUCUCUCGGCUCUCCUUCUGAUCAGAUGGCUUCAAGGUGCAACAGAUUCAUCAACAGAGCAUCGGUUUCGUCCCUCAAAUCCGCCAUUAAAUCCAAUUUCCGAACCAAUUCGGCUUCCGUCGACGGAUCUGCUUCCUCCAAGUUUCCCCUCCCGGCUAGAUCCACUUCCUCACCACUUCGCCGUCUCUCCUUGUCCAGAUGUCCAUCAGAGCUUGGAUGCGUGCAAUCUUUGUUGCCUCUUCACAGUGCAGUUGCUGCAGCCAGGAUGACAUCGCGGCUGAGCAUAACUUCGAGGAGUUCCAAAGCUCUUUCACAGGGUACACUCUGCCGUACCUCUCCCGGCCUCUAGUAUAUAUAUUUGUUAGUUGAAUGUGGGCUUGGAGUAAGAACUUAGAAACAUGUGAUUCUUCUGAUCACGUAAGGCACAUGAGUAUCCAGUGCUUAAAAGGGAUAUACUGCGAUAUUUACGACACCUGCCAGUUCUCAAAUGAAAGUGAUGGAACGUGAGACAUUGUGCCUUUUCUGGAGAGCUUGGUCAAUCAGUUCCGAGGUGACUACAGUUAGCAGAGACUGGCGCUAUGAGGGGAAAAAAAAUCUCCUUGUGAUUGGAUAUGGAAAAGCAAGGUUUUGUAAUUCAUCCCGGCAAACUUAUAAUUUAGGAGAAUUGCUUUGAGGUUUUUCCAUACCUGGUAACUAUUUUGGUCCGCACAAACUCAGAUGGAAGUGAUCGUGUGGAAAUUAGUGUUGAAGAAAAACUUUGCCUAUUAUUUUUACAUGAGAUUUAACGGCUGUCAAUUGUUCUACACUC